UCCUAGACAUGUAUGUGUAUUAUUAAUACUAAAUACAAGAGUUUGUUCAGUACAUUCUAAGUAGUUAGGAUUUUUAUUUUCUUUUGUGGAAAUCCACUCUCUGAGCAGCUAGGAAUGAGGGAGUUUCAUUUGUUUGUGUUUAGGGAUUAAACUCUCCACAGACGCUCCAGAUCCUCAAUUAAGUUCUUGCAGGUGUCAGGUGUAGUGUCACUAGAGACUUCCAAAUCCUGGCACCCACACAGUCUAGCCAUAAUUUAGGUUCAAAAACCUCUAUAACAUCACAUGUCACAAGAAAGCGUGUGCUCUGGGCUAGAAGAAAACCUUUUUGCCUCCCCUACCGGCUUGGGCAAUAUCUUAGACCUCCUCUGUAAAAGUGCACCUCAGGUGGUGACAUCUAUAAAACUAAGAUGUAUAUUUAGGCAAAAAUCUAGUCUAGCAUCUACAAAACUAAAGCAUACUCUCUUCACAGAGUCUGAAAAGUAAAUGUAUGAACUAGUCCAGUUCCCCUUAGCUGACUGGCACAAAUCCUGGAUUAGACAGUAAGAAGAAUAGACUUAACUCAUGAAAAAGCAAGAAGCCAUUCAGGAAAUUACAGCACAUGAGGAAUUAGCUGUAAGAAGAGGAGAUGGCAGCAUAUGUGGGAGAGAAUGCUGCUGUAAAUAGAAAUUGGCAAAAUAAAGCUUAGAGAGUUGCAAAUGAUAAAAUAGCUUUCUAUGAUGGUUAAGCAGAGAAGCUGGUUUUGAGUUAACCCUGUUAGGAAUAGGACUGCCAUGUAGAACAGAGCUAGCUGACAUGAUCCUGUGUCACACUCUACAGUUAGCAUCGAGUUUCUGUAACCUCUUCCUAAUUAAAGUGUUUAUAAACAGCAAUUUUUCCUCCCCAUCUGAUGAAGAAACUGAUUUUUCUCCACUUCAGAUUUUUCUGCACUUCACAAAGCCUGAGAGAAAGUCCACAACAGAGUGAAUUUUGGGAGAAGGUGCCCUGGCUAGAGAGCAACGGGCAGUGGAGUGAAUCUGACAAAUUCACCUACAAACCCUGUGAUGUCUUCUUCUCCACCCCUACAGUCAGCACGCAGGCUAGGAAUCAUGGAAACCCUGCCCACAAAGGAGAAGUGAAACUAUUUUUAUUGCCGCUUAUGCUUGCACUUCCCUGGAUUAUUCAGAUACUGCAAUGAUGAAUGCAGUAACGCUUGCAAGUUACUCAGCUACUACGGUGUGGCAAGCUAUAUGAGGACAAUUGGAUGUGACUUUCUUGUGGCUUAUCUCAACAGAAAAAGGGCACUUUUGGAUGAAAUUAAGUGCUACCGCUCUCUUCCUCAAAGGAAAAAUCACUGCAAUGUGUGAAUUAUGUCUCAGGUAGGUCUGACAAAUCCCAGCCUUUGGGAUGAUUUGGAUCUGGUUCCAAUGAGGCUUAGCAUAAAUAUGUGUAUCAUGAGUCUCAAACAUAGUUCUGCACGUGAAUUAAACUCUACAAAACACUGUUAAUUUUACUUUUGUCAUUUAAAAUCCAAACCAGUGCAUGCCUCAUAAGUCUCUCUCAGCUGUUCUGCUUUGCUGUCCCUGUCCUGUGUUUUCAGGCAACUGGUUCCUGAGUGAAGCGGUCUUCUGUUUGCCGAUGUGUGGCUUACAGACCAGGUACAUCAUCAUUACAUGUGAUACAGGAUUAAUUUUUUUUUUUUUUAUGAAAGGUUGUCUUUAGAGCAAUUAUGGUUUUGAAAGUUGAGACAAUAUUUAGACAUAUAAUAUGUAUAUAACGUGAUGCUAUACUGAUUUUUUUAUUUUUUUAUUUUAUUUUUUUACCCACAAAGGGGAAAAAAGAACAUUGCCCGUGUAUGCUUCUGGAAGAUAAAAGCUAUGCCCUUCCCCUUCAGUUUCAGGCAAAUAAAAAUAAAAUGGGAGCAGAAGAACCACUUUGUUCCCCAGCCCUGCCCCCUGGGUGUAUAAAUAGCAGGCGUCCCUGCGGCCGGGUGGCUGCUGGAGUGCCUCUCAUUCCAGAGAUCUUUGGCCACCCCCUUAUCAAAACAGAAAGGCUGACUUCACUCCCGCUCUCCCCUGAUUGAUUUCAUGUUGGAAACAGGUAACAUGACAGCUUCCAUUGUCCUUGAAUUAGCCACCUACUUCCAGAGGUCAGACAAACAGGCCGGAGGUCCAGAAACUCACUUCAGCUAAUUGCUGCCAAAAUUCUUUCUCCACAAAAUAAGCAGGGGCUGGAGCAGUCCUGGGUGACAAAUGUUCUCUGGAGAGAUGGGCAGAAACCAUCCCAGGCAGGCUAACAAGGGGUAUCGAGCUACAGGGCUGGAGAAGAGGUGAAAUGCGAGACAAAGCCCAGUGCCAAUUUUAAACUUAGGACCUGGAGCCACAGAAAGUUUCUACUUAAUUUUAUCAGGCUUUGAAUUUUCGGUCAAGUUGAUGGUGGAGCUGAGCAGUAGCAUUAGGACAGGGCUGUCUGAUUCGAUCCUGGUGCUCAGGAGGCUCGGUUUUACACCGGGCACUGGCAUGGCCCUUUAUUUGCUGAAAGUUUUCUACAGGCAUCAACAUUCCCUGCUGGCUUUCUGCUUUUGUAUUUUUAGAAAUAACACAAGUUUAGAGGCAAUGGGUGGUGGCUAACUAAAACUUUUCACUCUUUGCCCUCCCAUUUUCACUUCAUACACACACACACACCCUUCCACCAGCUUUCUAGCUGUUGCUUUCAUUAGUCUCUAAUAUAUGUUUCUAUCAUGUAGCACAGGCACCACAGCUACUGCUGUGCACCCCGGGUCACGCACUCCACAUGUACACCAUGCCAAAGGUGAUUGAUGCCACCCUCCCGUCACUGUCAUAUUUUCUUUAAAAUGAAAACUCAGAGAAUGAGAGGGUUCUAUCACUGUGCUUUGCAGGGUUGUCCUCAUCCGAAGAGAAGGAAAGUGCAGGCCUGUGCCCAGCCAAUACUUUGCAGACACUUCAUGAUCCUCCAAAGUACUGUCAGCUCCUGUUUAUCCUUAGAUUGAUUAAUCUGGCUAAACAUCCCACCUGUAGCUGCACAGAUGCUGUGGAAUGCAAAGGCGGCACGUAAAGCCAAUUGCAUUAGGUCCUGCUUCACUUGUGGUGUUUGUAUAUUGUCCAGCCUCUACAGGAACUGGCUGAUAUGUUUUUCUUGGGUGGCUAUAUAAAUAAGCUCUCAGAGAAUAACCCAGAUAUCCAAAGUUUUGAUUUACCCAUGUUAGGCCACCACCUUGUCAUGUGAAACAUGGAUGAAAGAUACUUGCCUCUCAAUAACAGCUUUUUCUUUCCUUUCCUCUUUCCUUAAUCUGUGUAAAAGAGUUUCUUACCCUUGCUUUAACAGCCUAAAACAAACUCUAAAAUUCUAUAUUUCCCAUCUUUCUUUUGUUCCCUGUCUUCUUUGAAACAAAUGAGGCUCUGAGCAACCUGAUUUAGCUCAAGAUGUCCUUGCUCUUUUGCGGGGAGGUUGGGCUAAAUGACCUUUCAAGAUCUUUUCCAACCCAAACCAUUCUGUGAUUCUAUGACACUAAUAAGUUUUCUGCUUCUGCUGCCUUGCCAACAUUGGCAUGAAAGCAUUUUGUGUCUAUGACAUUGUGAAAUGUCUCUGUAUUUUAAUAUUGGCUUGCUCUGUAUCCUUCUUCAGUCAGACAUCUGAGUGACCUUUGACUCCUUCUAGCUCUGGUCUGAAUAUCUCUACAGAUGGUGCUUGUGACACUUCUGCACUUUCCUCCCAGCGUGGCUUCUAGGGCUUUUCAAGGGCAGCUCAUGUCAGACUGACCUCACAGCUUCCUUUGUCAAUGCAAUUAUAAACAAAAGGAAUGUGUCAGAUCCCAUUUGUCUAGGUUUUAGGACAGCAUCUGAUGUCCUGCUCCCAUCCUCAUGCUGGAGCCACGGUUUUUACGCAAGGUGAGCAGGAAGAGCGCAGCAGGUAAUACUACAACAAGAAGUACCAGGCAGAAAGGUAGUUAAUGAAGUUUAUAUACUUAAAUAUAUAUAAUUAUAUAAAUAUAUGGUUAUAAAAUUCAAAGUCCUUGUAAUUAUUCCUGCUUAAUGUUUUCAUCAGUAAACUAGGCACAAAAACUACAAGUUUGCUGAUGGCAUUUGUGGAUGACAGAAAGCUGGGAGGCACAAUUAGGAGGCAGCAAGAUCUGAAAAGUACUAUGGGAAGAACAAAAAUGCAAUCAAGUUAAAUUCAGCAAUCAAGUUAAACGACAAAAGCUCACAUACAGAGAUUACUUGUCAGCAAGCUGAAAAUGGAGGAAAAGUAGAAGAAAAUAAAUCAACUGAGCAACUCUCUGGUACGUCUGGAGCACUGAUGUGAUGUUCCUUGGAGAAGAAAGAAAUGUCAUUCUGGGACAUGUGAAACGAGAUGUUUCCAGUGGAAACACUACAUCCAUUACAGAAGAUGACAUUGGUAAAGUGUCCUCAGGACGCUGUGUUUUGAUGUCUCAUGUCCAAGAAAAAUACAAAUCUGAACAGGUGUAAAGAAAGGCUACUGAGAUCACCAGGAAUGCCGUGAUCUUUCCUUACAAAUGGAGGCAAGGCAAGCUCAACUUGUUCAGCCCAGGAAAAUGAAGGUUGACAGGGGAUAUGAUUUCCAUCUAAAAAUACCCAGGAGUGAAGCAGCGGUGAAGGAGAAUAACUAUUUAAACUUGUCUGUGACUAAACUUAGUCUGGAAAUAAGAAGCAGGUUGCUGGCCAUUAAAACAAACAGAGGCAAGAACAGCCUUUGGAUGGGAACAGCUGGGACCAGAAAAGCACAAGUGCUUUUAAGAUGUAAAUUCAAUUGGGAAGAAAAGCUAUAGCACCCUGGGGAGGGAAAGGCUGAGGCUUGGGUUCUGUGACACUUCAUGUUUGUGUGACUCCUGGAUCCACCCAGGGAGCGCAUGGAGAGGUGACAGUUUCUGAUUGCCAGCUAGGGAUGUGGGAUGCUCUUAGUUGCCUAUGGUCCUUUUUGUUCCUCCUGCUUGUCUUCAUUUAUGUAUGGUGUUUCAGCCAAAAAUACUGGCACAAUGCAGGUUUCAUUUUUCUGCCGUUGACACCCAGCUGUGUCUAUGUGGCAGCCAACCUUGCAAAGCCAACAAGGAACAGGUGUUUUCAUAAAUAAAUCAUUGUAACAUAAUGCACAGGUAAAUAUGCCACUGUUGUGUGCAAAUUUUGUCCAAAUUUUUAAAGUGUAUAAAUAUUCUCUGGUGGUUUGGGGUUUUUUUUUCUCCCCAUUCUCCUCUGUCAGUAAAGAUUAGAAGUAUUUUAUUUACUAUGGGAAUAACUGUUAGCUGCUUUAUUAUUUUUUGUGGGCAGCAGCUAAAAUAAGAUUUCCUUGAUGUUUUCUCAGAUCUUACUGCUCUCAUGGUUGAUUUAUUUUGUUUUAUUUUUUUUUCCCCAGAGAAAUAUAGCUCUAGGGGUGGUUACAAAGACCUGGAGCAGUUUCUCUGCAGCAGAGAUUUUUGUAUGGAUUUACCUAAACAGUUACAAAAUCCAGGUCAGUUAAGUCAGCACAACAGGAAAGGUAUGUUCUUUUCUUUUUUCCCCUUAGUUUAUUUCCCGACACUUGCACAUGUCUUGCACUUGUUAGACCUGCUGAUGCACCAGGAUUUCACUGGUUGGACUAUGUUCCUUUUUGUACCAGUUCAGUCACUUGAACUGGCUGAAGUGCUUUGACUUGCUGAAGGUGACAUGGGGUUGUGGUGGCUGAGCCUCAAACAGCAUCUACCGAGUGCCCAUGCCUGAACUGCAGAAAGACCUGCCUUGUGAAAAGGCUGUGUGAAUUGGCCGUGCUGGUGUGAAUUAGUGGUGCCAGUAGGAAUAACACCGGGCAGCUGCCUGCUCCCUUCCUGCGAUGUCUGUCCAAGCCUGUGUGCCAGGCUGUUCCCAACCUGCCAGGCAAAGCACUCUUCGUGCCACAGCUUGCACCUGCUCCCUCCCUACUAAGACAAGAUAUUACAUAAAAGAUUAUAGGUGAAGCUGCACCUCUUCUCCCAUGACAUGAAUUAGCAUAAAUAACCACAAGGGUUGCUCUGGAAGUUUGGCUGUGUACCUGCCAAUCCCUACUUAAUUGGUGUUCCGGGUAUAUGUCAAACGUAACUCAAAGACAUCACUCAGCAAGCCCCUCCUGCGCAGCUGAUGGACUGUAAUUAAACCACACCAAGCCACAGAUUUCUGCAUUAACUGCUCCCUGCCAUUAAGGAAAAAUAAAUUUAAGCAGGCAGCUCACUUCAAGAAGCAAGAGCGUGGAUGAUUGAAGGCGUUACUCCUGUAACGUGCUUGGCUCUGUCAAGAAUGCUCUACUGAAAAGCUUUUUCUGGAAGAGGAGAAUAUCUGAAAAGUGACCAAGAAUGGAGAGAUCUCCAACUAGUGAGUUGCCUCUAACUCUGUGCUCUGUCUCUGGAGGCAAAGGAAAAAUAGAUUCAUUUGUCAUGAACGGAUCACUCCACAGAAAAGCGAAGACAAGCCUGCCAGCCUUGAUCUAGGAGUGGCACUGGCCUGAGUGCAAGGGGCAGGCAUGGUGUGGAGCACGUGCAGACUGGCCAAGGGUGAAACCUGCUGCAAUGCCUAUCAGCAAAAGUCUCCCUGCAAGUUCUCCUUCAGUCCUGAUGAAUUAAUGCAACGCAGUGUCGAGGUGCUGCAUGUGUAGGUAGCUUGGGCAAGCUCCUCCUUGACCAAGAAAAGCUGAAGGCUUUUGGAGAACUGAAAUGGAAAAAGAUGUUUUUCCUUAAUGUGAUUUAGUGCAAAAUCAAGCAGGACCACUGGCUGUGUGCUCUGGUGAGCUGAGAGCAGAUCGCUACCCAAGCAGUCAACACAGGAACGCGCCGACCUUGGAGAUGUCACAUGAGUCACGUUGGGGAGUGGGGUCCUGAUGCUUUUUCUGCUCUAUUAAAUAAAACAGCAUGGGAGUGACCUAAAGCCCUUGUGGCACAAUGAAAAAUCCCUGUGUUGGGGAAUUUUUAGUUCCUUGGAUUAAAAUCAUGUGAGAAAGUC